rnacentral:misc_RNA from 1 species
GCAAACUUGGUCAUUUAGAGGAAGUAAAAGUCGUAACAAGGUUUCCGUAGGUGAACCUGCGGAAGGAUCAUUAACAAAUUUUAAACACACAUCAUAUAUGCGAAAAGGUUCAGGAUUUCUAUAAUGAAGCGAUAGCUACCAUAAUAGGAUCCUGAUCUUGGAGCAUAUAUAUACACGAUUGUUAACAUGAUUACACGAACACUUUUAUAUUUCAUCAACCAUGUUGAUUAUAAAACGAACUUUUAACAAUGGAUCUCUUGGCUCUUGCCACGAUGAAGAACGCAGC